GAUGAAGAACGUAGCGAAAUGCGAUAAGUAAUGUGAAUUGCAGAAUUCAGUGAAUCAUCGAAUCUUUGAACGCACAUUGCGCCCGCCAGUAUUCUGGCGGGCAUGCCUGUUCGAGCGUCAUUUCAACCAUCAAGCCCUGCUUGCGUUGGGGUCCUGCGGCUGCCCGCAGGCCCUGAAAACCAGUGUCGGGCUCGCUAGUCACACCGAGCGCAGUAAUACAUCUCGCUUUGGGCGUGCGGCGGGUUCUUGCCGUUAAACACCCCCUUUUUACCAAGGUUGACCUCGGAUCAGGUAGGAAUACCCGCUGAACUUAAGCAUAUCAAUAAGCGGAGGA
rnacentral:misc_RNA from 1 species